rnacentral:rRNA from 1 species
UACGUAGGGUGCAAGCGUUAAUCGGAAUUACUGGGCGUAAAGCGUGCGCAGGCGGUUGUGCAAGACCGACUGUGAAAUCCCCGGGCUUAACCUGGGAAUGGCAUUGGUGACUGCACGGCUAGAGUGUGUCAGAGGGGGGUAGAAUUCCACGUGUAGCAGUGAAAUGCGUAGAGAUGUGGAGGAAUACCGAUGGCGAAGGCAGCCCCCUGGGACUAACGACUGACGCUCAUGCACGAAAGCGUGGGGAGCAAACAGG